AGGAAAGCAAGAACAAGCACUGUGAACGUUGGCCUCUUCUAUGGAGAUGCUUUUCUGUGUUGGCACUUGCAACCUUUUGGAAUACUACCUUAUUCUGGCUUCAUUGUCCAUGUGUUCACCAUCUCUGUUUCACGAGGAUCAUCAUGGAGCACUCAAGUCUCUGAAUGGCCCCUUAAAUUCAAAUGUCAGUGUAUUUGUUGAGGCCUUCUUGCAGAACCAUCCAGCUGAGAAAUGGAGCAUGAAUUUGUUAACAAAUCAUACCCACCAGAACUGACCUUACAACCUGUAUGAAACAAAGAAGACUUAGCUUGGCUGACUUCUUCUGUGGAAAAAUGGAG